GGUACUGUAGUCGAGUUGGUUAAGACACCUGCUUAUUACGCAGGAGAUCUUGGGUUCGAGCCCCAACGGUACCA
rnacentral:tRNA from 2 species